rnacentral:rRNA from 1 species
UAGGGAAUCAUCCGCAAUGGGCGAAAGCCUGACGGUGCAACGCCGCGUGAGUGAUGAAGGUUUUCGGAUCGUAAAGCUCUGUUGACAGGGAAGAACCCACGUCAGUCGAACAGGCUGGCGUGCUGACGGUACCUGUCCAGAAAGCCCCGGCUAACUACGUGCCAGCAGCCGCGGUAAUACGUAGGGGGCAAGCGUUGUCCGGAAUUAUUGGGCGUAAAGGGCACGCAGGCGGUUUCGUCAGUCCGAUGUGACAGGCCACGGCUCAACCGUGGAAGGCCAUUGGAAACUGCGAAACUUGAGGACAGAAGAGGAGAGUGGAAAUUCCACGUGUAGCGGUGAAAUGCGUAGAUAUGUGGAGGAACACCAGUGGCGAAGGCGACUCUCUGGUCUGUACCUGACGCUGAGGUGCGAAAAGCAUGGGAGCAAAACAGGAUUAGAUACCCUGGUAGUCCAUGCCGUAAACGCUGAGUGCUAGGUGUUAGGGAUUUCGAUACCCGUAGUGCCGAAGCUAACGCAUUAAGCACUCCAGCCUGGGAGUACGACCGC